rnacentral:rRNA from 1 species
UACGGAGGGAGCUAGCGUUGUUCGGAAUUACUGGGCGUAAAGCGCGCGUAGGCGGUUUUUUAAGUCAGAGGUGAAAGCCCGGGGCUCAACCCCGGAAUAGCCUUUGAAACUGGGUCACUAGAGUCUUGGAGAGGUCAGUGGAAUUCCGAGUGUAGAGGUGAAAUUCGUAGAUAUUCGGAAGAACACCAGUGGCGAAGGCGACUGACUGGACAGGUACUGACGCUGAGGUGCGAAAGCGUGGGGAGCAAACAGG